GGGUCAUAGCUCAGUGGCAGAGUGUCUGCCUUGCAAGCAGAAGUUUCCUGGUUCAAUCCCUAACAUGUCCA